GGCCAAGCUAACUUUUCAGCUUGCCCGGUGUGGAUGUACACUCAGAGUAACAUCACAAACAUCCAGCCUAGACCUAGGCCUUCUAGUCUUAUUUAUAUUUUUUCGUAUUCAGCGUUUUUUCACAUGAAAAGACUGGGACUAGGUGAUUUGGGGGCGGGGCGGAGGAACCAAGCCUAGAAGGCCUAGUUGAUUUCCCAACAACAUGGCCAAAAUUGCCCUGAAACUGCCCUGGUUGUAGUCUCUCUCGCAGCCUGUUCGCGGCCCGCGAACAGGCUGCGAGGGAGACUAAGGUCUAGGCUGACAAACAUCAUAUUCACCUGAGUACAUAACACCAACACACAAAAUAAACAUUUAUAAAGGUUUGGAUAAUGCAAAUCAUUAAAAAUUUCCAUAGUAUGACCUGUUGCUAUGGCUAGCUUGAACACUUUGCGAAAUAUUAAGCCGGUUUACCACUAGGCGGAAUUUUGCGCGCGGAGCAAAAUUCUUUUAAAUCAAAGAGAGAAAAUACAGUAGUCAGUAUAUAAUGCGAUGGGAAUUUGAAACAAAACAAUUCCAAUGAACUCUAUACGAUUAACCAAAUUUAUAUAAAUCUCUCGAAUAGGAAAAGACAUGCAGAAAAGGUGUAAAAAACAUUAUAGUUUCUGUGCUACCAGAUUAACUUAAAUUUCAUUGCCACACGUAUAUCCUUUCAACACAGAAUUAAUAGAACGGACACGGACAGAUUUAAGAAACUUCCCUUUUUUUUAACAAAGCACUAGUUGGUAAACAGUAGUCUAGAUUGGUUAAAAGAACUCGUGUAUGUAACACAAUAAUUAUAUACUCUGUAAUAUUUUGACAUAUAGGUUCGUAAACGGGUAAAAAUUAGUGGAAUUUGCCUAAUUUUUACCGUGGGAAAUGGGUUGGAAUAAUGGGACUCGUCAUUUAGUUGAACUAUAACUGAUAUAGUGAUAUCAGUACUCGAUAUAAUAAGAAUUAUAUAUACGCGAUAUAGCAUAUAUAUAUAUACUCAAUUUAUACUAUAAACUUUAUAUACUCAGUAUGUGUGCUUUGAUUUCAUCAAAAACUGCAAGAAA
rnacentral:lncRNA from 1 species